rnacentral:rRNA from 1 species
GAUGAACGCUAGCUACAGGCUUAACACAUGCAAGUCGAGGGGUAACAAGAGAAAAGCUUGCUUUUCUUGUUGACGACCGGCGCACGGGUGAGUAACGCGUAUCCAACCUGCCUAUAACUAGGGAAUAACCCGGAGAAAUUCGGACUAACACCGCAUAAUACCACGAAGCUGCAUGGCUUUGUGGUUAAAUAUUUAUAGCUUACAGAUGGGCAUGCGUAACAUUAGAUAGUUGGUGAGGUAACGGCUCACCAAGUCAACGAUAUUUAGGGGUUCUGAGAGGAAGGUGCCCCACACUGGUACUGAGACACGGACCAGACUCCUACGGGAGGCAGCAGUGAGGAAUAUUGGUCAAUGGGCGAGAGCCUGAACCAGCCAAGUCGCGUGAAGGAAGAAGGUUCUAUGGAUUGUAAACUUCUUUUGUAAGGGAAUAAAAAAGCUUACGUGUAGGCUAUUGUAUGUACUUUACGAAUAAGGAUCGGCUAACUCCGUGCCAGCAGCCGCGGUAA